AAAACGGUCCACAUGACUAUUACUGUCAGGCUCGGAGAAAAUUCGGGUUGUUUUUGUGUCAGUCGGUAAUUUUGCAACAGUGACUCUAACGCAGCACUAGUUGACAGACAUCAUUACAGCGUGAAAUCCAGCUUUACACCACAGCGUGACCCGGUUCUGUAAGGCAUUCUGUUCAGGAGGUCGCAUUUCAGGCUCUUCACAUCAUAUGUGACUGACUUUUACGUUAUAAUAACGAUCUCACACUAGGAAUGUUAUAACGCGCCUAUAUCUGACAGUUUCUUUUGUAUAUUAUCUGACUUUAUAAACUCCAACAACAAUGUGCUUCUAUUUUUUUUCAGGCUAAAUCUACCCAAGACAUUGGCUGUCAGACUGAUUUAGUCUGCAAGGAUGCACUUGUCCAGCCUGACGUGAAGCCUUAACCGUAGCAAAGCCACCCAGUUUAGAGCUCCCAGCUGCUGUGUGUCUUGUGACACAGGGACCAUGACGGAAAUUCAUCUUCCAGAAAGUCUGGCUCAUCAUUUAGCCAGAUUUCUAAGUUCCUGGGUGCCUUCAAUGUGCAGGGACUGUCCAAGCAGACAUUCUAUCGACAUCAGGCAAAGCUGUUAAUUCCAACAGUGAGCUGGCAGUGGCAGCUACAGCAAGCUGAUUUCAUCCAGGAGGCUACUGAAUCUGGACCUGUGACUCUUGGUGGUGACAUGCGAGCUGAUUC